CAAGAAACCCCAAAAAAACCAAAACCCAGUUACUCCUCUCUCUUCUCGCGCGUCGGUGCCGGUGGCUACAGGCCGGCGGUGCUGUCGGCCGUUUUCAGCUCGCCGGAGUCCUCCUUUCCCUUUUUUCGGUCGUUGCUGCCGGUGACGUUGUUGUUGCUGCUGCUGCUGCUGCUCUGUUUUCUCUCUCCUCCUCUUUUUCGUCGCUGUUGUUGUUGCUCGUGUGUCUCAUCCUUCAUCCUUAAUCUUCCUUGUUUGUGGGUACAUGAAGGUAAUGUAUAAUGAAGAAGGUUCGAUGUUGGAAGUUUGUUAUAUGCUUUAUACUAUUUGUAUCGCGGCGAGGACGAUCAACUUUGUAAUAUUAUAGUUAAUAGUUAAUUUGUAAUUGAAUUAAAAAGGUUUGAGUUUGUAAAGUCUAGACUUGUUUGGGUUGCUGGAUUUUGAGGAUACAGGAUUACGAAUCGGACGCGAGUCCUAAAUUAAGUUUUA